rnacentral:tRNA from 1 species
GUGGGAGUGUCAGAGCGGUCAAAUGAGCUAGCCUAAGGAGCUAGUGGCUUAGUGCCUACACAGGUUCGAAUCCUGUCUCCCACA